GUCUGUUCCAUGGACUAUUCCCCAUGGGACAUUUAGAUUCAGCAACUCUAUUUCUGGAGAAUUGGUUGAGACGCCCCGUGAUGGCUGGAUUUGCAGGUUCUGAGAAAGAAGUCCUGUUGGUCUUGGGAGACAUGUACAGCAGGCCCAGGACAAUUUCCAGAUACUCAACCAGAUAAUGAAAUGUAAGGUAUAAUUCUGGGUAUCAGAUUCAAACAUGGGAGACACAUCUCCAAAUCUGCUUAUUCAUCUCUGCCUGCAGUGAAGCUUUAAAGACAGACAGAUUUGCUUAUAGAGACAGCCCAGGGAGGUAGCAACUACCACUCCAAUGUUACGCAGAAAUUCUCCAGAGUCCUGCAAUAACUAUUCCUGAAUGCAUCACUAUUCCUGAAUGCAUCACUAUAAUCUCUACAUUUACCUUCAGCCAUUCAGUUUUACUAUGGAAUAAUGGCCAAAUGAAAUGCAUUCUUAUAUCAAAGAAGACAAUUACCGCUAGAGAAAUCAAGAGCAAGAAGGUUGUUAGAUAUCUCAUCGAAUAAUGAUAUCUGAGAUUGUUCUGAUAUAAGGCAAAAAAAAAAAAGCAAAAAAAAAAAAAAGCUCAAGAGAAGAAGAAGUUCAAAAGAAGUUCAACAAGAUGUUGGUAUACCUGUGAAAAAGAAAUGAAAUGUGGUCUCACUCCAGUUUGAUAUCAGAGAACUCCAUUAAGUUAACUAUAGAAGCAUGUGAUAUGAUCAAUAUGAUCAGAGUGAAACAUCAAAGUGAAGACCAGUAGCUCUAGGACUGUCAAACACUUGCUGAGUGUCACAGAGAAGCAAUGAUUCUGGAAUCUGAAUACAACUGACUAAUGGUACGAAUGGUUAAUGACAU
rnacentral:lncRNA from 1 species